rnacentral:rRNA from 1 species
GGAGGAAGGUGGGGAUGACGUCAGGUCAUCAUGGCCCUUACGGCCAGGGCUACACACGUGCUACAAUGGCAUUUACAGAGGGAAGCGAGACAGUGAUGUGGAGCGGACCCCUUAAAGAAUGUCGUAGUCCGGAUUGGAGUCUGCAACUCGACUCCAUGAAGUCGGAAUCGCUAGUAAUCGUGAAUCAGAAUGUCACGGUGAAUACGUUCCCGGGCCUUG